rnacentral:rRNA from 1 species
CGAGCAUGCCGCGUGAGUGAUGAAGGUCUUCGGAUCGUAAAGCUCUGUUGUAAGCGAAGAACGGUCCGCAUAGGAAAUGAUGCGGGAGUGACGGUAGCUUACCAGAAAGCCACGGCUAACUACGUGCCAGCAGCCGCGGUAAUACGUAGGUGGCAAGCGUUAUCCGGAAUCAUUGGGCGUAAAGGGUGCGUAGGUGGCGGAUUAAGUCCGUAGUAAAAGGCAUUGGCUCAACCAAUGUAAGCUAUGGAAACUGGUCGGCUGGAGUGCAGAAGAGGGCGAUGGAAUUCCAUGUGUAGCGGUAAAAUGCGUAGAUAUAUGGAGGAACACCAGUGGCGAAGGCGGUCGCCUGGUCUGCAACUGACACUGAGGCACAAAAGCGUGGGGAGCAAAUAGGAUUAAAUACCCUAGUAGUCCACGCCGUAAACGAUGAGAACUAAGUGUUGGAGAGAUUCAGUGCUGCAGUUAACGCAAUAAGUUCUCCGCCUGGGGAGUAUGCACGCAAGUGUGAAACUCAAAG